rnacentral:rRNA from 1 species
CCUACGGGAGGCAGCAGUGGGGAAUCUUGCGCAAUGGGCGAAAGCCUGACGCAGCAACGCCGCGUGCGGGAUGAAGGCCUUCGGGCUGUAAACCGCUUUCAGCAGGAACGAAAAUGACGGUACCUGCAGAAGAAGGAGCGGCCAACUACGUGCCAGCAGCCGCGGUGACACGUAGGCUCCAAGCGUUGUCCGGAUUUAUUGGGCGUAAAGAGCUCGUAGGCGGUCUAGUAAGUCGGGUGUGAAAACUCUGGGCUCAACCCAGAGACGCCAUCCGAUACUGCUGUGACUUGAGUUCAGGAGGGGAGCGGGGAAUUCCUAGUGUAGCGGUGAAAUGCGCAGAUAUUAGGAGGAACACCGGUGGCGAAGGCGCCGCUCUGGACUGAAACUGACGCUGAGGAGCGAAAGCAUGGGUAGCAAACAGGAUUAGAUACCCUGGUAGUCCAUGCCGUAAACGGUGGGCACUAGGUGUGGGUUUCAACUAACGAAAUCCGCGCCGUCGCUAAACGCAUUUAAGGUGCCCCGCCGUGGGAGGUACGGUCGCGAAGAACUAAACCUAACAAAGGAAAGUUAGACGGCGUGAGACGUGCCGAACGGACGACGACGAGGGAGGUAGG